UUUGUGGAAUGCACCUAAGCCAGACUCUCCGUAGGGAACUCUAUAUUUGUGUGGUGGUAAAACGAUAGGUGCCAUUGUGACGUGCAAUCCAAGAUUGGGAUAUGAAUCACAUAUGAGAGCAACUUAAGUCAAUAAUCGAAAUAUCUAGCUUUCUAGGCUUAAUUGGUUACUAUCGGAGAUUCGUGGAAGGACUUUCUCGAAUCGCUACUCC
rnacentral:lncRNA from 1 species